rnacentral:rRNA from 1 species
ACGGGAGGCAGCAGUGGGGAAUAUUGGGCAAUGGGCGAAAGCCUGACCCAGCGACGCCGCGUGAGGGAAGAAGAUCUUCGGAUUGUAAACCUUAGUCAACAGGGAAGAAGCAAGUGACGGUACCUGUGGAGGAAGCCACGGCUAACUACGUGCCAGCAGCCGCGGUAAUACGUAGGGGGCAAGCGUUAUCCGGAUUUACUGGGUGUAAAGGGAGCGUAGACGGCUUGGCAAGUCUGAAGUGAAAGCCCGGGGCUCAACCCCGGAACUGCUUGGGAAACUGUUGAGCUGGAGUGCAGGAGAGGUAAGCGGAAUUCCUAGUGUAGCGGUGAAAUGCGUAGAUAUUAGGAGGAACACCAGCGGCGAAGGCGGCUUACUGGACUGUAACUGACGUUGAGGCUCGAAGGCGUGGGGAGCAAACAGGAUUAGAUACCCUGGUA